rnacentral:rRNA from 1 species
GACGAACGCUGGCGGCGUGCCUAAUACAUGCAAGUAGAACGCUGAAGGAGGAGCUUGCUUCUCUGGAUGAGUUGCGAACGGGUGAGUAACGCGUAGGUAACCUGCCUGGUAGCGGGGGAUAACUAUUGGAAACGAUAGCUAAUACCGCAUGAUAUUGAUUAUUGCAUGAUAGUCAAUUAAAAGGUGCAAUUGCAUCACUACCAGAUGGACCUGCGUUGUAUUAGCUAGUUGGUGAGGUAACGGCUCACCAAGGCAACGAUACAUAGCCGACCUGAGAGGGUGAUCGGCCACACUGGGACUGAGACACGGCCCAGACUCCUACGGGAGGCAGCAGUAGGGAAUCUUCGGCAAUGGACGGAAGUCUGACCGAGCAACGCCGCGUGAGUGAAGAAGGUUUUCGGAUCGUAAAGCUCUGUUGUAAGAGAAGAACGAGUGUGAGAGNGGAAAGUUCACACUGNGACGGU